rnacentral:rRNA from 1 species
AGAGCGAACGCUGGCGGCAGGCUUAACACAUGCAAGUCGAGCGCCUCGCAAGAGGAGCGGCAGACGGGUGAGUAACACGUGGGAACGUGCCUUUUGGUUCGGAACAACCCAGGGAAACUUGGGCUAAUACCGGAUAAGCCCUUACGGGGAAAGAUUUAUCGCCAAAAGAUCGGCCCGCGUCUGAUUAGCUAGUUGGUAGGGUAAUGGCCUACCAAGGCUACGAUCAGUAGCUGGUCUGAGAGGAUGAUCAGCCACAUUGGGACUGAGACACGGCCCAAACUCCUACGGGAGGCAGCAGUGGGGAAUCUUGGACAAUGGGCGCAAGCCUGAUCCAGCCAUGCCGCGUGAGUGAUGAAGGCCUUAGGGUUGUAAAGCUCUUUCAGUGGGGAAGAUAAUGACGGUACCCACAGAAGAAGCCCGGCUAACUCGUGCCAGCAGCCGC